CACAAACACUGGCUGAGUAACAACAAUAUUAACGUUGCACGGAAAACUUCUGGGCCAGUUUCUGCAUCCUACAGGGAGUAUUCUUUUGUGUUUCUGCACCUGCGGUUCCCACACAAGGUUGCAACAUUGUUUGUCAACACUGUCUGCUCUCAUUUUCUCGCACAUUCGACCCUCUCUGUCCUCUUCCUGUCUAGACUUGCUGUGUGUGUGUGUGUGUGUGUGUGUGUGUGUGUGUGUGUGUGUGUGUGUGUGUGUGUGUGUGUGGUACACAGAACAUCAAUUUCCACACUUCUAUUAUCCCCGAGUCCAGUGGACCCGGAUAUCUUAUAUGUAAUAGAAAUGUGCAGGGGGGUGUAUGGUGUGUGUGGUCAUUAAAUAUGUAUUCUGAUAUAUGUUCUUCACAGAAAAUGAGCCAAUGUCAGUGAGUCUCAUUGUGAAAAAUUAAUUAAUUGUAUCAUUUUUCGUUGAAUAAAAAAUGAAAUUGGGUCCCGCAGAACCGAACACAACACAAUGGUUAAGGACAGUUGUCCAAGAAAACAGCAGAAGAGAGAUCAGGUCCACUCUUUCUCCUGGAAGCUGCGGUUCCAGUCUGAGGCUCACUGAAACAAAUAAAGCUUUUUGUUCGACGAUUCCUCGUUGGUUUCUUCUUGGCUCAUCACCCAUCUCACGAGAAACAAAUGUACGACAAGAGAUACAAUUGUCAAGACUCGACCUGCGUUCUUUUGUCGAACAGUCAGAGGUCCGGUUGUCUGGAAGAUUUCACAAGCCUUCAUUAAAACAGGUAGCUGGGAAAUUGUAACAGCGUUGGUCUCACUCCCGCAGAAGUCUGUCCAUGGCGGAUGUAGGCGGUUGCCUCCACAAAGCAGUCUCUGCAGAAGUGAGCCCCGAUUGGGAAUUGUUCUUUAUAGCAAAAGAGCAGACAAGUUUACCCGAUCAAAGAGGCCCUGGUUUUACAAGGGUGGCGGCGAGCCCAAGGCUUUGAUAAGGGGAAUUAUUAUCAAGAAAGAAGUGGCUAAUUUAAACAAUUAUCACAGUUUAAAAAUAAUGCCUUCUUUUGUGCCACUGGAGGAGAGCUUGAACUUGAGGUUACAAAGAGUCAUUAUUGUUUCGCCUUGAGCAAGUAAUUUGAAAUUAGCCGAAACACGCCUCUAUGUCUCUAAAACAAUAGAAAGUAUAGUCGGCAGGACUGAAGAUCAAGGAACUAGACGCCAAAUGAAGUACAAAACCAAAAAGAAGGAAUUGAAGAUCAAGGAACUAGACGCCAAAUGAAGUACAAAACCAAAAAGAAGGAAUUUAAGUCAACCCAAGUAGGGCAGGCCUUUUUGGGGAAUUUUUCCAAAAUCAUUCUGAGAGACAAGAACACACACUGUUCUCUCAAUUAUGCAGGCGGAUCGGACACAGCGUGAAGGUAAGAAUGAUGAUUUAUUUAACACUACAGAACAAACUAAGAACAAAAACACUUGCACAAAGGCACUAUAGACAAAACCAACAGAACUAGCAUGUGAGCUAGAAGGAACAAAAGAUGUUAGCAUGGGAGCUAGGGAAAUAAACAAAUGAAUAGCAUGGAAGCCAACAAGCAUCAAAAAGUAUUUUACCACAAUGAGGGAUAGCGACGUCACCUGUUGCAUCGAAAGCAAGUUGAGACUGCGAGAGCGAAUGACAAACGAGGGCAGUGUCACGCCAAAUUUCUUCCCCCCUACAAAAACCUUCCCCCCCAUUUACUUUCGGGGUCAUUAUUAAUACAGACGUUUUGUUAACGCUAUAUUAGGAAAAUAUAACGCUAUAUUAUAAAAAUACAGACGUUUUGUUAACAUUAUAUUAUAAAAAAAAAAAAAAUUACAAACACAAACUAUGGGAUGACACAUUUACUUCCGGGUUUACAUUUCCUCAGGUUUCCUCUUACGUCAUCCCAUAGCUUGUGUUUGUAAAUAGUUUUUUUUAAUUUGUUCUAUCUUUUUUAUAAUAUAGCGUUAACAAAACGUCUGUAUUUUUAUAAUACAGCGUUAUAUUUUUAUAAUAUAGCGUUAACAAAACGUCUGUAUUAAUCAUGACCACAGAAGUAAAGGGAGGGGGGAAGGUUUUUGUAGGGGGGAAGAAUUUUGGCGUGACAGCAGUCUUAAAUAGCGACAGAAAUUAGGAGGCAGGUGCGCGAGAAAGACAGAAGUCAGGUGACACAAUACGUUACAAUGGCAAGGGAAACAAAACAGGAAGUGCCACCAGGAACUAAGGAAGACAAACUAACCAGAUGUAAUACAGAACAGAAAAAAAAACAGUAUAUGUCAUGAUCCAAGUAGCGGAUCAUGACAACACACGUCUCUUUAUUUUUGGGAUUUUAAAGAUAAUAAAGUAACCGUUGUAGCCUUCAAAGCCCUUUAAGACAACUUCAAAGCCCUCCAAUGUUUUAUAUACACACUGCAAGUUUAUAUAUAAUGUAGUGUCCUGGGCAUGACCUUAAAGUGCAUCCGGCAGUGGAGGCUCCUCUAAGGGGUCUUGGGGGACUAGGAGAUUACCCCCUUUACCGCUGUUACCCCAGGUACCUGACUGCCCCCUAGCCAGGGAUACGGUGAAAACCUCAACGGCGGAGCAGGCGGAAGAUGGUAAAUGUAAGAACCACCACAACGGCCGCGAUGGCGGAAGAAGGCACCCCCACAUCCAUGUGGGCCCAGUUAUGGGGAAAUAACAAUCCAAGACCUCAACGGCGGAGCAGGCGGAAGAUGGUAGAUUUAAGAACUACCACAACGCCUACGAUGGCAGAAGAAGGCUGCAGCAGAAAAGAGUCCCCAGUCGUCUUGGACUCCAUGCUACUGGACUCUGACCCGGAUCUGUCAAGGAUGGUGUGGCAGGAGACUACGGUUCAUCCAGACCCACAUCUCCUGCCACCUGAUCAGUUUUGUCCCCUCGGCCGUCAAACACAUGAACAAUCACAAGAUCUGAUAGCUCAGUUACAGCUCAUUUUAAUACCUAUUCUGUAUUAUAUUUUUUUGAGAGGCGGAUCCGGUAGUCCGACAGCGAAGCAGGGCACGCCGGAGCCCGGCCCAAGAUGGCGGCGAGUAGGCGUGGACUGCGAGCAAGCAGCGAGGCGGGGCGCGCCGGAAUCAACCCCGGAAAAUAUUAUAAGGUGCGUGGGUCGCCCAGCUGGGCACAAUUUAAAUCUCCCCUCGCACUGUAUAAAAGGGCAGCGGCCGUAAACGCCGGGGGUAAAAACGGAGAGAGAAGGAGCCAGAAGAAAGCCGAUGCUGAGAGAGAGCCACAGGAUGACAAAGACGUACCCGACUGAAAAGGUGGAGCGGCAGAGGAAGCAGGCUGAGAAACAACCCAUAGAGACUUUUUAUUAUUGGAAAAUAAAAGAAAGUUUACCCUGUGCCACAAUGUCCUUCCUUGGUGGUCCUGAGAACCCGCACGACAGUAAGAGACUGUCACAUAUGUGUUUUAUAUUGCCCAAAAUUCCUAGUUUGUGAGCCUGUUCUCAAACAAUGGCAAUAAAAACUAUUCUGAUUCUGA